CAAUGGGCUAACGGUCUUUCUCCUAUUAUUUCCAUUCUAUCUAAUAUAGAUAUUAUAUUUUCUAAAUCUUUUGGACUGUUUAUUAUUCCUAUUUUAUCCAUUCCUUUUCUAAAAUUAUAGAACUGAGUUUCUAUACUUAUUAGGGUAUAGUCUUUUUCUAUAUCUGUUAAGCAUUCUUGUCCUUCUGCAUUAAACAGAGUAUAAUUUCUAACUUCUUCUAGGUUUUCUUUUAUAUUUUUGUUUUCUUUUGACAGGUUGCUAUUUUGGCAUUGAUUGUUUUGGCAAUUGUCGCAACAUGGUUCUGGAAGCAAU
rnacentral:lncRNA from 1 species